rnacentral:rRNA from 2 species
AGCGGCGGACGGGUGAGUAACACGUGGGCAACCUGCCUGUAAGACUGGGAUAACUUCGGGAAACCGGAGCUAAUACCGGAUAAUCCUUUUCCUCUCAUGAGGAAAAGCUGAAAGACGGUUUACGCUGUCACUUACAGAUGGGCCCGCGGCGCAUUAGCUAGUUGGUGAGGUAACGGCUCACCAAGGCGACGAUGCGUAGCCGACCUGAGAGGGUGAUCGGCCACACUGGGACUGAGACACGGCCCAGACUCCUACGGGAGGCAGCAGUAGGGAAUCUUCCGCAAUGGACAAAAGUCUGACGGAGCAACGCCGCGUGAGUGAUGAAGGUUUUCGGAUCGUAAAACUCUGUUGUUAGGGAAAAACAAGUACAAGAGUAACUGCUUGUACCUUGACGGUACCUAACCAGAAAGCCACGGCUAACUACGUGCCAGCAGCCGCGGUAAUACGUAGGUGGCAAGCGUUGUCCGGAAUUAUUGGGCGUAAAGCGCGCGCAGGCGGUCCUUUAAGUCUGAUGUGAAAGCCCACGGCUCAACCGUGGAGGGUCAUUGGAAACUGGGGGACUUGAGUGCAGAAAAGAAGAGUGGAAUUCCACGUGUAGCGGUGAAAUGCGUAGAGAUGUGGAGGAACACCAGUGGCGAAGGCGACUCUUUGGUCUGUAACUGACGCUGAGGCGCGAAAGCGUGGUGAGCAAACAGGAUUAGAUACCC